rnacentral:lncRNA from 13 species
UGGCUGCUAACCGUUCCACCCGUUGUUCGGAACUUCGCUCACCUCCCAGGCCUGUUUAGGCCUUUGUCUGUUGUCGUCAGGACUAGGCUCUGAAGAAGCUUCAAGAGCCACUGAUCCCAACCAAUUAUUGAUCAUCCUGUCACCUUCUCCUGUAUUCAGCAGUUCACCCAAAUUGAAGGUUGACUGUGGAGUCCUUUUGCUUGCUGAAGUAGAAACAAACUCAGAGAAAGUUGG